UCAUCAUUAAGAUAACGGCGUCGCAUC
rnacentral:piRNA from 1 species